AACAAACGCUGGCGGCGUGCCUAAUACAUGCAAGUCAAACGGGUAGCAAUACUAGUGGCGCACGGGUGAGGAAUACAUGGGUAAUCUGCCCUCGAGUUGGGGAUAACCAGUCGAAAGAUUGGCUAAUACCGGAUAAGACCACAAGAUCUGCGGAUCAAGGGGUUAAAGGUUUUUCGCUUGAGGAUGAGCCCAUGUGGGAUUAGCUAGUUGGUGAGGUAAUGGCUCACCAAGGCGACGAUCCCUAACUGGUCUUAGAGGAUGAUCAGUCACACUGGAACUGAGACACGGUCCAGACUCCUACGGGAGGCAGCAGUAGGGAAUAUUGCACAUGGGGAACCCUGAUGCAGCGACGCCGCGUGAGUGAUGAAGGCCUUCGGGUCGUAAAGCUCUGUCGUAUGGGAAUAACACAAUGAAUGUACCAU
rnacentral:rRNA from 1 species